AACCCGAGUAGAGAGAGGGAAAGUAUGAAAGAAAGUUGUUUGCGGUUGUUUAACUCUGGAGAUUUUACUUUUACUGAUGUUUCUGUAAAGCAGAUUGAGCUGAAAUGGAAAGAAGAAGAGCUUUUUAAAAGAUAGGAAAGGAUUAUUAACAUUAACAACAUUAUCUCAGGAUUUUUCCUUCUUUUUAACUCCUUAAAUGUGAAUAAAUGCAGGAAUGAAUCAAAUCUCAGCGAACAGAAGAUCCGGUCCAGUUCUGAUCACACUGCUGAUCUCAAUGUGUGUGUCGGCAGACGGCAGGAAUAUCACAGUCAGGAUGGGAUCGGGCGUGAUGCUACCGUGUAGCUGCCCACACGUUUCUUCACUGCUCAGCUGGCAGAAGGGCAUCACCAUAGUGUACAGUGAUCGCAGAAACUCAGCCGAAACCAGUGCAGAUCAGCAGUACAGCGGGAGAACCAGAGUCCUGGAGAGCAACUGCUCUCUGGUCCUGAGCCGAGUUCAGCUGUCUGACGAGGGAGAGUACUCCUGCUACUACCAGACCUCCAGUUUCUCCGUAGAGACUGUAACUCUACACGUCACAGCCGAUGCUUCUUGUGAGUACAAAUCUGGCCUUUACCAUUGUAAGGCCACCUGGGGUUCUCCUGAGGGGUGGAUUGUAUGGAGAUUGAACGGUCAGUCCAAGUUCCUGCAUUCAGUGUUUUUCCAGAGGAAGCUGGAUGAAGAUUCUGGUCUCUAUAUCAUAAACGGCUCCGCCAACAUAACCAGUAAUGGCGCAGUGACGUGUGAGGUGGAGACUUCCGGAAAAACAGUGGAAAUUGUAGAGUGUAACCGUAAGUGUGCUUAGGAAACUUUUUCUGGUAUAUAGUUGCAGGAAAAAAUAUGUGAAUCCUUUGGGAUUAC
rnacentral:lncRNA from 1 species